UUGAACCAUGCAAUCGUGGUCAGUAACCUUCAACAGAGAAUUAGGUCAUGACUACAAGAAGACCACUAAAGAAAGCCACAAGUUCCUGACUAAGCAAAGAGAUCCGGAGUGAGCUGUAUCAGCUAGGGCACAUGUACAGACAGGCAUUAACACUGGAGGGACUUCAAGCACUUAUUCAAGUACAAACUGUCGUAAUAGUUAUAUAAUAUAGCUUCUUGUUGUUAAGUGAUUGUCUAUGGAUUCUAUUAUAACCGUGGUAACAUACGAAGUAGUAUGGAUUCUUUAAAGCAAUGCUAAUGUGUCUCAAAUUAUUCCUUCAAAUCCUCAGUUACGGUCUUUGAAGUAACCGUACAAAAA